rnacentral:rRNA from 1 species
AGAGCGAACGCUGGCGGCAGGCCUAACACAUGCAAGUCGAGCGCCCGUAGCAAUACGGGAGCGGCAGACGGGAUAGUAACACGUGGGAACGCGCCCUUCGGUUCGGAAUAACUCAGGGAAACUUGAGCUAAUACCGGAUACGCCCUUACGGGGAAAGAUUUAUUGCCGAAGGAACGGCCCGCGUCCGAUUAGCUAGUUGGUGAGGUAAUGGCUCACCAAGGCGACGAUCGGUAGCUGGUCUGAGAGGAUGACCAGCAUCACUGGGACUGAGACACGGCCCAGACUCCUACGGGAGGCAGCGGUGGGGAAUAUUGGACAAUGGGCGCAAGCCUGAUCCAGCCAUGCCGCGUGAGUGAUGAAGGCCCUAGGGUUGUAAAGCUCUUUUGUGCGGGAAGAUAAUGACGGUACCGCAAGAAUAAGCCCCGGCUAACUUCGUGCCAGCAGCCGC